rnacentral:lncRNA from 1 species
UCUAACUCUUACUUACAAAAGUAACAAAAUAUUAAAAACUAGAUAAAAAAUAGAAAGCUUGCUUCUGACUGGUCAAGGCACAAAGGGAAGGAUUGACUUUGAUUAGCCAUCCACCGUUGAUAUGAAAAAUCGUAUGGUCACAAAAUAAUCAAAUAAUCAAUUCUUUUUUUUUCUUCCUCUUAAUUAAUCAUUUCAAUACAAAUAAUAUAAUAAAGUGAAAUGUUGAGAUUGGUUAAUAUUUGAUGACAAAGAUAGCUAAUUUUAACCAUUGAUUAUUUUGAUCCAAUGGAUCUAAUUCACUCCCCUCCUUGUCCUAUCAUUUUCUUUUGGUCUUCCUCUCACCUCCAGACUCUCACGUUUCUCUCUUCUCAUCUCUUCUGAGAUUUCAUUUCAUCUUUCUACUCUUCUUCUUUCUUCACCAUAGCAAUCCUCAUUCUACAAACACAAACCAUCAUCACAGUCACCUCGUCUACCACUACUUCUACCUCACCCACCAUAACCUCCGCCCGACGCCACCAUCACAUCCGCCGCCUCCUCCUCCUUGUUCCCCACCUUCGCGGACCACAAUCGCAUCCUCCUCCUCCUCCUCGUUACUCAACCACAAGCGACCAUCUUCUCCACUACCACCAAUGCUUCUGCCUCAAUCAAAAGCAAUUCUUCCUCUACCCCCAUUACUCUCUUAUAUCUUCUAAUCUCAAAGAUUUUUGUUUCACAUUUUUUUUUUCAGAUCUAGAUUCGUGAAUGGAGAUGUGAGACUGGAGAUGACGAACAGAGGUCUCAAACAAACGUAAAGAAGUAUUCACAAGAUUGAGGAAGGAUGAGAAGACAAACGAAGGUUGAGGGAGGCUAAUUAGGCAGACGAAGCUUGAGUAAGGUGGAGAGUCAAAAGAUGGUUGACGGGAAGUGGGAGGAGGCACGGAAGCUGCAGUGGAGGAGACACUGACGCCGGAAGCAGAGAUGACAAUGUCUCCGGUCAAGGUUGGAAGAGGCGCAAGGCUCAUGAAGGAGGCGGCUCGACUUUUUUUUUAGGUUUAGAUUUCUUUUAGAUUUGGUUUAGUGUAAACCGAGUAAGGAAAAUUGUGUGCUUUGAUUUUAUUUUUUAAUUUCUGGUUUAGUAUUGUAAACCGGAAUGUAUUUGUAAACCAAUUUUAAUUUAUAAAUAAAAUUUAUUUUAUUUUAAAUUAUAAAACAAUUUUCAUUUAAUUUUUAAAUUUUUUUAAUUUUUAAUUAUAAUUUUUUUAUUUAUUUAUUGUAUAAUGACCUAUCAAAGUAGUGCUAUAGUUAAUUUAAAUAAUAUCAUUCAAACAUUGUUAUCGUAUCUGCACAUUUCGUAGCGUUCAAAAAAUGCUAUCGUAGAGGGCGUACCUACGAUGGCUGCCGAUGACAUAGCAUUUUAUGAAUUCGCUAUGAAACCCCUACUAUAGCAUAUUUUCCGCGCUAAGAAUGUACAUAUUUCUUGUAGUGAUAUUAUAAAGUAAACGACGUGGCAUUUUUGUGUGGCAUCGUAACAAUCACAUAACAUACGAAUCGCGUUGUGCAGCUGUAUUAGGGUAUGAAUCGAGGGAGUGGAUAACAGUUGUAAGUGUGCCAGAAACAAUUCUAACCUAACGACGAACUGAAAAUGACGACAAGUAUAUUCUAUACCGAUUGUAUGAGUUUCCAUACUAUGUACCGUAUGUGGAAUAGUAAUAUUAUAAAUGUAGUUCCAAGUGAAAUAUGAUCUUCAUAAUUUCGCUACAGUUAAAAAGGUACAUGAUGCAAGGAAAGUACGUAAUGCUUUACCCAAAAGCAAGCCAAAUAUUCCAUAAAUAAAUUGGCUAAUUAGGCAGACGAAGCUUGAGUAAGGUGGAGAGUCAAAAGAUGGUUGACGGGAAGUGGGAGGAGGCACGGAAGCUGCAGUGGAGGAGACACUGACGCCGGAAGCAGAGACGACAACGUCUCCGGUCAAGGUUGGAAGAGGCGCAAGGCUCAUGAAGGAGGCGGCUCGACUUUUUUUUUAGGUUUAGAUUUCUUUUAGAUUUGGUUUAGUGUAAACAGAGUAAGGAAAAUUGUGUGCUUUGAUUUUAUUUUUUAAUUUCUGGUUUAGUAUUGUAAACCGGAAUGUAUUUGUAAACCAAUUUUAAUUUAUAAAUAAAAUUUAUUUUAU